UGUUAUGAUGCAUCAUGCAUGGUACCAAGUUGGUUUUGCUGAGCUUGCUUUUUUUCCUUAGAUGUCCGCUCAAAAAAUCAUGUCUUUAAGACAUCUUUUUUUCUUUUUGUGUGCUAAGAUUUCAAGUUCUCAACCCCCCUCUCUCAGGCUCUCACUUUACCAAAUCUAUUAACAUUAAUAUUUUGUAAAAUUCCCCAUAAAUUAUGGUUUUGUAAAAAGAUUAUAAAAUAUUUUGUGCAUUUUUUUAAAUAUAAUAUCUCUUGCAAUAUGUAAAUUUCAUAUGACACGUGGAAAUAACACAUAUUACGCUUUUGAAACUCGAGUUUGAAAAACUUGUAUUUGUCACAUAACUUGAGUUUCAAGAACACAAAUUUGAUAAAAAUAGCACUUGUGCAAUGUAUCACUCGAGUUUCUAAAACAUGAGUACCAUGUAAGAAAGAAAAUCCAUUUUCAUGCGCUAUGUAAUUUGAGAGAAAUUAUUAGCACCUCCGGGAGGACAGUUGAGCUGGUCCUCCCAAGUAGUCCCAACUAAUAUAAAAGGUCAUUUGUUAAAACAAUGCUAACUCAGCUUCCUAACUGGCAAAGCAAAAAAAACCAAACCAUUUUUAAACCCAAAUUAUAUUGUUUGAAGUUUGAACACCCAAAUUCAUUUUAUUUUUACCGCUCCAUCCUUCUUCCCACUUCUAAAUCCAUUUUUUUUUAGAGAACCAGUAACUCCUCUCUACCUUCUCACAAUAUGAAUUCUUCUUAGCGGCAUCUUAUAAUUUUGAUCGUUUUGAACUAAAAAUUUCACAAAUGCAAAUCAUUCUCAUCACAAAUCAUCUCAUUACUUGCUUUGUCAGACUGGUUGAGGUGGUUGUCCAAACACUACCAUUGCAACUAAGCAUGACUCAUCAAGAAAGGGGUCCUCUCUCGAAACUCUAGAUUAGUUUUCUCAGCCUCAGAUGUUCUACGAGAUGAUGUCAAAGAAGCAACACCAUGAGUCAAAGGCUCUCCGACGAGAAACACCGCAAGCUCCGAAAAAUGCAUUUCAAAACUCUUUGACGAAGCACAUACAAUGACGACUCUUCGAGAGCGAAACAGCUAGCUGGGGUACUCUUUCCUUCAAGAUUUGAUUCCUUAGUUUUUUUUUUUUUUUUUUUUUUUUCAAAUAAUUAUUUAUCUGUUGACUUUCUUUUGAAUUUAUUUACAUUAAUAGUUUUGAAGAAAUGGCUACUAACUGAUGUGCGUGUAGAAUCAGCUAUAAUCUAAUAGCAAAGAUUGAUGUCAAAGUUUUGAAUCGAAGAUUGUAAUUGUUAUAUUCGGUUGUGGUUUGCUGUGAGCUUUGAACAUUGGUUCUAAUGUGAUAUUGUGAUGUAUUUCUAUGGUUUGGAAUAUUUGUUUUAAUUUGGAAUUGUAAUGUUUUUGGCUUA